rnacentral:rRNA from 1 species
UGAGGGAUAUUGGUCAAUGGGCGCAAGCCUGAACCAGCGACGCCGCGUGGGUGAAGAAGGUCUUCGGAUCGUAAAGCCCUUUUCCCACUGAAGAGGAAGGACGGUAGGUGGGGAAGAAGUCUCGGCUAACUACGUGCCAGCAGCCGCGGUAAAACGUAGGAGACAAGCGUUAUCCGGAGUUACUGGGCGUAAAGGGCGUGCAGGUGGCGUCUUAAGUCUGUUGUGAAAGCGCCUGGCUUAACCGGGCGAGGCCAAUGGAGACUGAGAGGCUGGAGGACGGCGGAGGGGGGUGGAAUUCCGGGUGUAGUGGUGAAAUGCGGAGAGAUCCGGAGGAACACCAGAGGCGAAGGCGGCACUCUAAGCCGUACCUGACACUGAGACGCGACAGCACGGGGAGCAAACG